UGGGGAAUAUUGGACAAUGGGGGAAACCCUGAUCCAGCCAUCCCGCGUGUAUGAUGAAGGCCUUCGGGUUGUAAAGUACUUUUGGCAGAGAAGAAAAGGUAUCUCCUAAUACGAGAUACUGCUGACGGUAUCUGCAGAAUAAGCACCGGCUAACUACGUGCCAGCAGCCGCGGUAAUACGUAGGGUGCAAGCGUUAAUCGGAAUUACUGGGCGUAAAGCGUGUGUAGGCGGUUCGGAAAGAAAGAUGUGAAAUCCCAGGGCUCAACCUUGGAACUGCAUUUUUAACUGCCGAGCUAGAGUAUGUCAGAGGGGGGUAGAAUUCCACGUGUAGCAGUGAAAUGCGUAGAUAUGUGGAGGAAUACCGAUGGCGAAGGCAGCCCCCUGGGAUAAUACUGACGCUCAGACACGAAAGCGUGGGGAGCAAACAG
rnacentral:rRNA from 1 species